CAGCAGCCACGGUAAUACGAGGGGGGCAAGCGUUGUUCGGAAUUAUUGGGCGUAAAGGGCGCGUAGGCGGUUUGACAAGUCUGAUGUGAAAUCCCUGGGCUCAACCCAGAGUCUGCAUCGGAAACUGUCGAGCUUGAGUAUGGGAGAGGUGAGUGGAAUUUCCGGAGUAACGGUGAAAUGCGUAGAUAUCGGAAGGAACACCUGUGGCGAAAGCGGCUCACUGGACCAUUACUGACGCUGAGGCGCGAAAGCUAGGGGAGCAAACAGGAUUAGAUACCCCCGUAGUCCCUGUCUCUUAUCA
rnacentral:rRNA from 1 species